rnacentral:rRNA from 1 species
AUUGAACGCUGGCGGCAGGCCUAACACAUGCAAGUCGAACGAGUGGCGGACGUGUGUGUAAUGUAUGGGAAACUGCCUGAUGGAGGGGGAUAACUACUGGAAACGGUAGCUAAUACCGCAUACCAUCAGAUGUGCCCAGAUGGGCUUAGCUCUUGGGGGGGGUAACGGCUCACCAAGGCGACGAUCCCUAGCUGGUCGGAGAGGAUGACCAGCCACACUGGAACUGGGAAACGGUCCAGCCUCCUACGGGAGGAAGCAGUGGGGAAUAUUGCACAAUGGGCGAAGUCUUGACGAAGCCAUGCCGCGUGUAUGAAGAAGGCUUCCGGGUUGAAAAGUAUUUUCAGCGGGGAGGCGUUACCCACAGAAGAAGCACCGGCUAACUCCGUGCCAGCAGCCGCGGUAAUUC